rnacentral:pre_miRNA from 1 species
AAAAGAAUCACCAGUGGAUCUCAUUAAAAUGCAGAUUCUGACUCAGUACCUCUUGAGUAAGGUGUGAGAUUCUGCAUUUCUAACGAGCUUCCAGGUGAUACUUAG